rnacentral:rRNA from 1 species
CACGUAGGGGACGAGCGUUGUCCGGAUUCAUUGGGCGUAAAGCGCGCGUAGGCGGCUCGGAAAGUCGGUCGUGAAAUGCCGGGGCUCAACCCCGGGACUGCGUCCGAUACUCCCGAGCUGGAGGCAGGUAGGGGAGAUCGGAAUUCCUGGUGUAGCGGUGAAAUGCGCAGAUAUCAGGAGGAACACCGGUGGCGAAGGCGGGGUCUCCUGGGCCGAUACUGACGCUGGAGGAGCGAAAGCGUGGGGAGCGAACAGG